GCCUGGGUGGCUGAGUCGGCUAAGCGUUGACUCUGGCUCAGGUCAUGAUCUCACAGCUGUGAGUUCAAGUCCCGCCUCAGGUU
rnacentral:tRNA from 1 species